AUUUUUCUGAGUUCUACUAUUUUUUUUAAAAUAAAGAGUAGAAAUAAUUUCUUGCUAGAUUAAAUUUUUUAUGAUUUUCCAGCUUGAAUUUUGAAAACGUUUAAUUCAAAUUUUCUCGU
rnacentral:sRNA from 1 species